rnacentral:rRNA from 1 species
GAUGAACGCUGGCGGCGUGCCUAAUACAUGCAAGUCGAGCGAACAGACGAGGAGCUUGCUCCUCUGACGUUAGCGGCGGACGGGUGAGUAACACGUGGAUAACCUACCUAUAAGACUGGGAUAACUUCGGGAAACCGGAGCUAAUACCGGAUAAUAUAUUGAACCGCAUGGUUCAAUAGUGAAAGACGGUUUUGCUGUCACUUAUAGAUGGAUCCGCGCCGCAUUAGCUAGUUGGUAAGGUAACGGCUUACCAAGGCAACGAUGCGUAGCCGACCUGAGAGGGUGAUCGGCCACACUGGAACCGAGACACGGUCCAGACUCCUACGGGAGGCAGCAGUAGGGAAUCGUCCGCAAUGGGCGAAAGCCUGACGGAGCAACGCCGCGUGAGUGAUGAAGGUCUUCGGAUCGUAAAACUCUGUUAUUAGGGAAGAACAAAUGUGUAAGUAACUAUGCACGUCUUGACGGUACCUAAUCAGAAAGCCACGGCUAACUACGUG